rnacentral:rRNA from 1 species
AGAGUUUGAUCCUGGCUCAGGAUGAACGCUGGCGGCGUGCCUAACACAUGCAAGUCGAACGAGGUAUUUUGAUUGAAGUUUUCGGAUGGAUUUCAAGAUACCGAGUGGCGGACGGGUGAGUAACGCGUGGGUAACCUGCCUCAUACAGGGGGAUAACGGUUAGAAAUGACUGCUAAUACCGCAUAAGCGCACAGUACCGCAUGGUACGGUGUGAAAAACUCCGGUGGUAUGAGAUGGACCCGCGUCUGAUUAGCUAGUUGGUGGGGUAACGGCCCACCAAGGCGACGAUCAGUAGCCGACCUGAGAGGGUGACCGGCCACAUUGGGACUGAGACACGGCCCAGACUCCUACGGGAGGCAGCAGUGGGGAAUAUUGCACAAUGGAGGAAACUCUGAUGCAGCGACGCCGCGUGAGUGAAGAAGUAGUUCGCUAUGUAAAGCUCUAUCAGCAGGGAAGAUAGUGACGGUACCUGACUAAGAAGCUCCGGCUAAAUACGUGCCAGCAGCCGCGGUAAUACGUAUGGAGCAAGCGUUAUCCGGAUUUACUGGGUGUAAAGGGAGUGUAGGUGGCCAGGCAAGUCAGAAGUGAAAGCCCGGGGCUCAACCCCGGGACUGCUUUUGAAACUGCAGGGCUAGAGUGCAGGAGGGGCAAGUGGAAUUCCUAGUGUAGCGGUGAAAUGCGUAGAUAUUAGGAGGAACACCAGUGGCGAAGGCGGCUUGCUGGACGAUGACUGACGUUGAGGCUCGAAAGCGUGGGGAGCAAACAGGAUUAGAUACCCUGGUAGUCCACGCCGUAAACGAUGACUGCUAGGUGUCGGGUGGCAAAGCCAUUCGGUGCCGCAGCUGUUUUCUCCGUCAGCUCUUAUAAUCCUCGAUCAUAGCUUCGAUCUCAGCGAUCUGCGCUGCGCUGAGCUUCUUGCUCUGGAUAAAUGCGGCGAUCAUCUUCGGCAGCGAACCGCCGUAAGCCUUCUCCACGAAAGCCUCCCCCUGGGCUCUGUGGUAUUCCUCCUUAUUCAAUACGGAAGAUACGAUGGCAUUCUCAUUUUUGAAAAUACCGUUCUCACACAGCUUUUUAAUGAACGUAUAGGUAGUGGAUUUCUUCCAGCCGAACUUCUCCGCGCACUGUUUUACCAGUUCUCCGGAACCGAUGGGUUCCUCCUCCCAGAUCAGCUCUGCAAAUUUGUAUUC